rnacentral:rRNA from 1 species
AGAGUUUGAUCCUGGCUCAGAGUGAACGCUGGCGGCGUGCCUAAUACAUGCAAGUCGAACGAUGAAGCUUCUAGCUUGCUAGAAGUGGAUUAGUGGCGCACGGGUGAGUAACGCAUAGGUCAUGUGCCUCUUAGUUUGGGAUAGCCAUUGGAAACGAUGAUUAAUACCAGAUACUCCCUACGGGGGAAAGAUUUAUCGCUAAGAGAUCAGCCUAUGUCCUAUCAGCUUGUUGGUAAGGUAAUGGCUUACCAAGGCUAUGACGGGUAUCCGGCCUGAGAGGGUGAACGGACACACUGGAACUGAGACACGGUCCAGACUCCUACGGGAGGCAGCAGUAGGGAAUAUUGCUCAAUGGGGGAAACCCUGAAGCAGCAACGCCGCGUGGAGGAUGAAGGUUUUAGGAUUGUAAACUCCUUUUGUUAGAGAAGAUAAUGACGGUAUCUAACGAAUAAGCACCGGCUAACUCCGUGCCAGCAGCCGCGGUAAUACGGAGGGUGCAAGCGUUACUCGGAAUCACUGGGCGUAAAGAGCGCGUAGGCGGGAUAGUCAGUCAGGUGUGAAAUCCUAUGGCUUAACCAUAGAACUGCAUUUGAAACUACUAUUCUAGAGUGUGGGAGAGGUAGGUGGAAUUCUUGGUGUAGGGGUAAAAUCCGUAGAGAUCAAGAGGAAUACUCAUUGCGAAGGCGACCUGCUGGAACAUUACUGACGCUGAUUGCGCGAAAGCGUGGGGAGCAAACAGGAUUAGAUACCCUGGUAGUCCACGCCCUAAACGAUGGAUGCUAGUUGUUGGAGGGCUUAGUCUCUCCAGUAAUGCAGCUAACGCAUUAAGCAUCCCGCCUGGGGAGUACGGUCGCAAGAUUAAAACUCAAAGGAAUAGACGGGGACCCGCACAAGCGGUGGAGCAUGUGGUUUAAUUCGAGGAUACACGAAGAACCUUACCUAGGCUUGACAUUGAGAGAAUCCGCUAGAAAUAGUGGAGUGUCUAGCUUGCUAGACCUUGAAAACAGGUGCUGCACGGCUGUCGUCAGCUCGUGUCGUGAGAUGUUGGGUUAAGUCCCGCAACGAGCGCAACCCCCUUUCUUAGUUGCUAACAGGUCAUGCUGAGAACUCUAAGGAUACUGCCUCCGUAAGGAGGAGGAAGGUGGGGACGACGUCAAGUCAUCAUGGCCCUUACGCCUAGGGCUACACACGUGCUACAAUGGGGUGCACAAAGAGAAGCAAUACUGCGAAGUGGAGCCAAUCUUCAAAACGCCUCUCAGUUCGGAUUGUAGGCUGCAACUCGCCUGCAUGAAGCUGGAAUCGCUAGUAAUCGCAAAUCAGCCAUGUUGCGGUGAAUACGUUCCCGGGUCUUGUACUCACCGCCCGUCACACCAUGGGAGUUGUGUUUGCCUUAAGUCAGGAUGCUAAAUUGGCUACUGCCCACGGCACACACAGCGACUGGGGUGAAGUCGUAACAAGGUAACCGUAGGUGAACCUGCGGUUGGAUCACCU